rnacentral:rRNA from 1 species
GAAAGAUGGUUCUGCUAUCACUCUUGGAUGGACCUGCGGUGCAUUAGCUAGUUGGUAAGGUAACGGCUUACCAAGGCAAUGAUGCAUAGCCGAGUUGAGAGACUGAUCGGCCACAUUGGGACUGAGACACGGCCCAAACUCCUACGGGAGGCAGCAGUAGGGAAUCUUCCACAAUGGACGAAAGUCUGAUGGAGCAACGCCGCGUGAGUGAAGAAGGGUUUCGGCUCGUAAAGCUCUGUUGGUAGUGAAGAAAGAUAGAGGUAGUAACUGGCCUUUAUUUGACGGUAAUUACUUAGAAAGUCACGGCUAACUACGUGCCAGCAGCCGCGGUAAUACGUAGGUGGCAAGCGUUGUCCGGAUUUAUUGGGCGUAAAGCGAGUGCAGGCGGUUCAAUAAGUCUGAUGUGAAAGCCUUCGGCUCAACCGGAGAAUUGCAUCAGAAACUGUUGAACUUGAGUGCAGAAGAGGAGAGUGGAACUCCAUGUGUAGCGGUGGAAUGCGUAGAUAUAUGGAAGAACACCAGUGGCGAAGGCGGCUCUCUGGUCUGCAACUGACGCUGAGGCUCGAAAGCAUGGGUAGCGAACAGGAUUAGAUACCCUGGUAGUCCAUGCCGUAAA